GAGACACGGCCCAGACUCCUACGGGAGGCAGCAGUGGGGGAUAUUGCGCAAUGGGGGCAACCCUGACGCAGCAACGCCGCGUGAAGGAUGAAGGUCUUCGGAUUGUAAACUUCUUUUAUUAAGGACGAAGAAAGUGACGGUACUUAAUGAAUAAGCUCCGGCUAACUACGUGCCAGCAGCCGCGGUAAUACGUAGGGAGCAAGCGUUGUCCGGAUUUACUGGGUGUAAAGGGUGCGUAGGCGGCUUUGCAAGUCAGAUGUGAAAUCUAUGGGCUCAACCCAUAGCCUGCAUUUGAAACUGCAGAGCUUGAGUGAAGUAGAGGCAGGCGGAAUUCCCCGUGUAGCGGUGAAAUGCGUAGAGAUGGGGAGGAACACCAGUGGCGAAGGCGGCCUGCUGGGCUUUAACUGACGCUGAGGCACGAAAGCGUGGGUAGCAAACAGGAUUAGAUACCCUGGUAGUCCACGCUGUAAACGAUGAUUACUAGGUGUGGGGGGUCCGACCCCUUCCGUGCCGGAGUUAACACAAUAAGUAAUCCACCUGGGGAGUA
rnacentral:rRNA from 1 species